UCCGUCCGCUUUGCGGAUCCGCUGCGUAUUUGUUCCGUAUUCGCAUUCUGACUGUUGCUAACCCUAACCCUUGGAUGGCCUGCUGUUACAGAGAGAAUCUGCGGUUAAAUCAUCUUAGAUCCGCACUGUGAACGUACUUUUAACACAACACUUUGUUUUUGACACAAUGAUUUGUACUAUCAAUGCGCGGAUCCGCGGCUAACCCGGUUCGGAUUCGCUGCGCGGACGCGCCACUGACUCAUCAGCCGUUAUCAGAACCAUGAGAGAAAGAAACAACAUCCACCUGUUGUCCGUGGAUUUCACUUUUUGACAAGUGCAGUAGGAAAGUUAGCGACAGAAGCAGCUGACGUGAUGAAGACGAUGUGAGGUCAGGAGUCAGGAUAACUCCAUCUCUUGAGAAUUGUAAUUCUGCUCCGUGAUCAUUGGUCGUGUCUAACGGGCUCGGUUCUGGCUGGAUGCCGCUCUCGGCGCUCUGCCUUCGGCUGUGGAGCGACGGUGACACCGGUGUCUGAUCUGGUUGUGUUUUUAACCAGAGAUAAUUAUUAUUUGUGUAGACUAGAGUGUUGACUGUUGAGUUGAGACUAAAGUGCAGUCAUGUCAGUGCCUUAAUACAAUAAUUUAACGCAACGUGCCAUAAUACAAUAACGUAACGUAAUAAAAAGCACAACUUUUAACAACAGCUAACGUUAGCUAACCAACCAAAACUUAUGUUGUUUUUCCCCAGAUGACAUCAGGAGCCCCUGUCCUUCUGCUGAGUGUCCCCAUCAGGAGGCCGGCACGCUGAUCAGAAAAUAUACUAUGGUUAAUAAGAAGAUGGACAUAACAGCAUGACAAAGACCCUCUGGAGAAUUCCCUCUGCUGGGCCAAGUUCCAAAAAUGUAGAGACAGACCCUCUAACAUGCUGUGGUGGAGUUUAAAGACUGACCCUCUAUGCUGUGAGAAAGGGGAAGUCCAGAGCUGGACACUGACAGACUGGAUCUUCACCAGUAGGACUGAAGAGGAGCCAGCCUCACUACACCUCUGCCUCAAAACCUCUGCCUCAGACUGAAGCUAAAGACAGAGGCUCUGAAGCUCCCACACUGCACACUCUAUAAGAACAACCACCCGUCUAAUUGUUCUGUGGUGGUAAACACAAGUUAAGUUUUAGUUUUAAACAGUAUGGUAUGGCUA